UUGGGAAUCUUGGACAAUGGGGGAAACCCUGAUCCAGCCAUGCCGCGUGAGUGAUGAAGGCCUUCGGGUUGUAAAACUCUUUCGACGGGGACGAUAAUGACGGUACCCGUAGAAGAAGCUCCGGCUAACUUCGUGCCAGCAGCCGCGGUAAUACGAAGGGGGCUAGCGUUGUUCGGAAUUACUGGGUGUAAAGGGCGCGCAGGCGGGAUAAAAAGUCAGUGGUGAAAUCCUACAGCUUAACUGUAGAACUGCCUUUGAUACUUUUAUUCUUGAGUUCGGGAGAGAGAGACGGAAUUCCAGGUGUAGUGGUGAAAUACGUAGAUAUCUGGAAGAACACCAGUUGCGAAGGCGGUCUCUUGGUCCGACACUGACGCUGAGGCGCGAAAGCGUGGGAGCAAACA
rnacentral:rRNA from 1 species